rnacentral:rRNA from 1 species
AUGGGCAAGCCAGUAGUGUGUUUAGGUGACCUCAACAAUAUCAUGUGUGAUAUGGAAACCACUUCUGCAAAUGUUAAUUAUAAUCGAAUGUGUGCUUUCAAUGAUUGUGUGAAGCAAUGUGGGCUUGUGGACGGGUUCAGUGGUCCUGCGUAUACUUGGAGCAAACGUUUUUCUUCAAUUCUUGUCUUUAAAAAACUUGAUAGAUGUUUAGCUAAUGCUUAGUAGUGCGAUCUUUCUCCUAAUACAUAUGUUUUUAAUCUUCCUAUAAUUUUAAGUGACCAUGCCCCUAUUUUGGUCUCCACUGAAUCUAAAUGUUACAGACUGAAACUAAAAUUUAAAUUUGAGAAUUGGUGGACUAUGGAACAAGAUUUUCAACAAGUUGCUAAACAGGAUUGGCUUUCUUCAAAAGAUAAACCUUUCUGUUCUAGGACUACUAACCUUGCAGGUACUCUUAAAAAAGUGGUGUCAAAAGAACAAGCCUAUUCAGCAUCAUUUAGAUAA